GUUUGGAACACUGGAUCAUGACUUGUAUAAAUCUGUAUAAAUCAAUUUCUGUGCCAGGGACUGAAUAGCCAACUUCAUUCAAAUGCCAAUUCAGCAAUUACGAAGUCUGCUGGCAGUUAAUUAAAAACUACCAUCUCAUUAUAUUCAGAGGUUCAAUGGCUAAAGAAGAAGGCCAAGUUCCCAUUAGCAUGGUGGAUAUUAAAAAUCUGACAGACAGCGAAUUGCAGGAACAGCUUAUGAACCAUGGAUAUAAUUCGGGGACAAUAAUACCCUCCACAAGACAGGUUUAUGAGGAUAAACUGCUAGAGUUGUUGACCACUUCAAGUCCAUCAAUGCAGC
rnacentral:lncRNA from 1 species